rnacentral:rRNA from 1 species
UAUUGCCUACGGGACGCAGCAGUGAGGAAUAUUGGUCAAUGGGCGGGAGCCUGAACCAGCCAAGUCGCGUGAGGGAAGACGGUCCUAUGGAUUGUAAACCUCUUUAGGCGGGGAGCAAUGCCGGGCACGCGUGCCCGGAGGGAGAGUACCCGCAGAAUAAGCAUCGGCUAACUACGUGCCAGCAGCCGCGGUAAUACGUAGGUGGCAAGCGUUGUCCGGAUUUACUGGGUGUAAAGGGCGUGUAGCCGGGCUGACAAGUCAGAUGUGAAAUCCGGGGGCUCAACCCCCGAACUGCAUUUGAAACU